AAGCAUCAAGGAAGUCCAUAACACAGUAUAAUGAAGAAGAGGAGGAGGUUGGGAGAUGGAAGUUAGUGGCUCGUUGCAUGUCGACCACCAGCAGCACAGAAGAAUCGCACAGCCGCGAUGAUUUCACUUGUAUGAGUACUCGAAUACAUUGAUUACAGACUUGAAGUGUUACAACCCACAAACUCCAUAUAUACAUGUAUAGCGACUAGUGAGCGAUUAAUGGUUACCAAUUCCAACAAAAAUCAAACAUUUUCUUAUAUGUGUAAGGCAUCAGAGUGACAUGAUAAUGUAUAUGUGGAUCCCAGGUUGCUGGUUGUGCAGUGGUUGGUUGCAACUUACUAAGUAAAUAUCAUCACUUCACCCGCAGGAUUAUUGUAUUUGUAUAU
rnacentral:lncRNA from 1 species